AUGAGACAAACAGUAUGGAAAACCUGUCGCUCUCAAAGCACUCUAAGCUUCUUUAAAGAAUACCAUAUAAAGUGCAGGCCGCAUUGUAAGUUCCCAGGAAUGUCUUUCUUCCCCGUAGAUUUUCGAGUACGAAUUGUUCUUGUUCUACAUAUGACAUUUUUUUGUCUGUUACAUUAUCUUGGUUGCUUGUUUAAUUACUAUUCUAUGUUCUUCUUGUCCUUGCUCCUUUGUUGGCUGAACUUCUGAGGAGAAAUACCUUUGUUCGAUUGUUUCUACUUGCUUAGGAAGACAAAACAUACUAAUUGGUUUUCAACUCUCUUUUUUAAAUCUGACACAAUUUUAUUUAUAAAUUUAUACGCAACUAAUUAUUUUAGAAUAAUACUUAUCUAUAGUUACUUAUGUGCUGUAUUUGAAACUACUUGAAUCGGAGCAGAGCCAGAAUUUUUUGUAACGGAGAGGUCAAGUUGCGGCACUAAUAUAUUUAUCAAAACAACCCAUAUACCUAUAUAUACACACACCAAAAAAAAAAAAAAAACUUAGUAUUUUCAAGCAAAAUUAUGUUUGAUGGUGAUCUUUCAUAAAAUAAAAUUCAUUUUUACCAUUUGCAUAGUAAAAUUUUUAAAAAGUUUCAUUUUCAAUACAAAUUAUCAAAUUUUAUACUAAACUAAGUAAAAAAUCUUUCAAUUAAACUAAUGAAAUUUUCAAAAAUAUGAAUGAUCCAAAACUUAGAGGAAUAAGUUAUGCUCCAAACAUAUUUGAAGUCAUCUUACUCUAACUCAUUAUGUGGCAACUAAAAAGACAUUUCAUGUGUAGUUUUAGUAACAUAUUUUUUUUAAUGAGUAAAUUACUUGUUAAUUACCACAUAACGGGUUGAAAAAGAUAGAUCUAAAUAUGUUUGGUGCUAAAUUUUAUCAAAUAUUUAACAAAUCUAAGAGCACAUUUUACAAUAAAAAAUAAAAUUGCAAAAAUUAAAGUUAUGUCUCUAUAACCAUUAGACCAAUUAUUUUUUUAAGAGCAUCAUUGAACUAAUUCAAAUAUUUGGAGGGGGCAACUCUUAUUUUUGUAGGCUAAAUUUUGAAAACAUUAAAAUAAUUAUAUAUAGGAAAAUUUCAAAAUUUUGAGGGGCCAUGCACAUGGCUCUGCCCCUAUACCUGAAGGUUUCUCAAUUAAAUUCAACUGUGUGAUUACAUUAACCAAUGAACCAUUUGGUUAAUUUCCUUAGGAAACAUGCCACUAUUUUUGUUGUAUUAGUCAAUACAAUUGCAUGAUUGAACUCAAAUGGAAACCUAAGAUAUAACGCUAUAGCUGAGUUUUGUCCUUGUUAAUGGAGCUUUAUAUGUAUAUCCAAAUGGCAUUCAUAUAAUCAAAUUAUUGCGUGCCACUCUGCAGGCCACCUUGACAACAUCAACACAUCAACAUCAAUGCUACUGAUGAUCAAGGGUGUAAGAAUUUGUCAAAUGUAAGAUAAUAUGAUUGGAUUUUUUUUUAUAUUUUUAUUUUUUAAGAUAAGGAAUUUAAAAUAAUUAAAUCAAGAAUUUUUCUGUUUGUGUAUUUCUAGAAUUGUUCAGUAUAAAACUGGUAGUCUAGUACUGCGUAGUGCGUACCAUCUACUAACUACAAGUCUACAAUUGAGAAUUUGAAAUCCCAGAUUUUGAAUUAUCUCCAUUUUUAGAUGGCAAACACGGUGUUUGCUUUUGAAGAGUUUGGCUUUAACGGGAUUGAAGAUAACUUAUAAACUUAUAAAGGUUGGGAGAGUAAGACAGAAGUGAAUAGUGAGAAACACUUUGGUUUUUUAAUGGAGCAGAAGAUUAUGUAGAGUCCUGGGGUAUUGAUUCCCUUUGUUCUGACUUUGGCUUCUAUCAAGGGGAGUCAGCAGAGGAAGGAUUCCUUUUCUCAGAGUAUCAAAGACAAGCACAGCAACAUGAAUCGUUUUCAGAUUAUGGGCCUGUUGAUGAUAUGCAGUUCGAUAUUGUGUCUCCAUUUCAAACUUGUCUAGAUGAAAUUGCAAAGCUUGGUGGAUUCCCAACUCUUCCAGACGUUGAAUUCCAGAAGGAAAAGCCAUAUGCUUUCUCUUUGGCCCCACUUGAACUCCUUAACAACUAUGGAAAUGGGUUCAAAUGGUUGAACGGGGACAGAAUGAUUGAGCCAAGCAAUUACAUGCCAUGUGCAAAGGUGGAAGGCCAGUAA
rnacentral:sRNA from 1 species